GCGAGGCUGUCUGAUACGUAUUAUCCGCAAGUCUAUCCGAGCCAACAUUAAUUAUUUUAGGGAGCUGUCCCUGUACAGAUCGUGGUUUGUAUAUAUGGCACCCACCUUGACACAAGCGGUUCGAUAUGAAUUAUUGAGAGACGGUCAGACGGCUUUGCC
rnacentral:other from 1 species